UGUACCUGAUGAAAGGCAUCAUACUGUGUGAGCCCUUACAUUAUCAGUAUUUGAGCAUUGUGCCUUUUCAACCUUUUUUUUUUCUUGGAGUGGAAUUACAAAUUGUGUGCAAGCAGCACAAAUAAGCUCCAAUGCUCUGACAGCAGGAGCCAGGAGGUAUGAAAAGAAUAACAUUCCGGAUUUAUGAUAGAUGGUUUCUCCAUUGCCAUGGUGCAGCCAACCACUGAAGAGCAGAAAAGAUGUUCAGUACUAAACUUAAUACGAGGCUGCUGAUCAGCCUCUAUUUUGGUAAACUAAGGGUUGUUCAUCCCAUGUUAGAGCUAUAUUCUUGGGGAGUCAGAUGCUAAGAUGGUAUGCAGAGACUGGUUUUAUAAGGCAUGCAAGUGAGCAGAGAAUUUCGAAUCGUUGGAACAAUCAAGCCUGACCCAUUCUUUGCAGCAACUGAAAAGAGUCAGGCACGGGAUCUCGCCGGAGGGGAAUAAGCAAAAGUGAUGUUGACAAAGCUGGAGGGCGGAAUCCUGCACUUUUUUUCGAGUUAAGAUCAGAAGGAAUAUAUCGCCUAUGUCGACAUCGCUUGAUUCUUUUUCUCUGCGACUUGUGUUUCGCAGGCUCGUGCAAGCACCGAUAUGAUGAACACGUGUGAACAGGGGAAUGGUGAAAUUUGACUGACUGCUGCAAAAUGUUGAUAAGCGACCAAUUUUAGACCAGCAGUUUCUCCCUUGUUUGAUCAAAUUAUUAGUAUAUGUAAUCUGACCCCCCGUGGAGAUGUUCCUGAACAGUGUCGUAACUAGGAUUUCGAGGGGACCGGGGUGAACUUUUUUUUUUUAACGCACAGAAUAUGUAAUUGCCUGACAUCAACGUAAUU